rnacentral:rRNA from 1 species
UACGUAGGGUGCGAGCGUUGUCCGGAAUUAUUGGGCGUAAAGGGCUCGUAGGCGGUUUGUCGCGUCGGGAGUGAAAACCUUGGGCUUAACUCAGGGCUUGCUUUCGAUACGGGCAGACUAGAGUACUGCAGGGGAGACUGGAAUUCCUGGUGUAGCGGUGAAAUGCGCAGAUAUCAGGAGGAACACCGAUGGCGAAGGCAGGUCUCUGGGCAUUAACUGACGCUGAGGAGCGAAAGCAUGGGGAGCGAACAGG